GAUGAACGCUGGCGGCGUGCCUAAUACAUGCAAGUCGAGCGAACAGAUGAGGAGCUUGCUCCUCUGACGUUAGCGGCGGACGGGUGAGUAACACGUGGAUAACCUACCUAUAAGACUGGGAUAACUACGGGAAACCGGAGCUAAUACCGGAUAAUAUAUUGAACCGCAUGGUUCAAUAGUGAAAGACGGUUUUGCUGUCACUUAUAGAUGGAUCCGCGCCGCAUUAGCUAGUUGGUAAGGUAACGGCUUACCAAGGCAACGAUGCGUAGCCGACCUGAGAGGGUGAUCGGCCCCCCUGGAACUGCGCCACGGUCCAGACUCCUACGGGAGGCAGCAGUAGGGAAUCUUCCGCAAUGGGCGAAAGCCUGACGGAGCACCGCCGCGUGAGUGAUGAAGGUCUUCGGAUCGUAAAACUCUGUUAUUAGGGAAGAACAAAUGUGUAAGUAACUAUGCACGUCUUGGCGGUACCUAAUCAGAAAGCCACGGCUAACUACGUG
rnacentral:rRNA from 1 species